rnacentral:rRNA from 1 species
UGCCUGUACCAUAACCGACACAGGUGGGUAAGUAGAGUAUACUAAGGGGCGCGAGAUAACUCUCUCUAAGGAACUCGGCAAAAUAACUCCGUAACUUCGGGAGAAGGAGUGCCUUAUUCUUAAGGUUGCAAUAACAAGAUCCAAGCAACUGUUUAUCAAAAACACAGGUCUCCGCUAAGUCGUAAGACGAUGUAUGGGGGCUGACGCCUGCCCAGUGCCAGAAGGUUAAAGAAGUCGGUUAGCAAUAGCAAAGCUGGUAACUGAAGCCCUGGUGAACGGCGGCCGUAACAAUAACGGUCCUAAGGUAGCGAAAUUCCUUGUCGGGUAAGUUCCGACCCGCACGAAAGGCGUAAUGAUUUGGAUGCUGUCUCGGAGAGGGGCUCGGUGAAAUAGACUUGUCUGUGAAGAUGCGGACUACCUGCACCAGGACAGAAAGACCCUAUGAAGCUUUACUGUAACUUGAAAUUGAAAUUGGACUUUAUUCGCGCAGUAUAGGUGGGAGGCGUUGAUUAUAAUCUUGUGGGAUUAUUGGAGCCAUCAGUGAGAUACCACUCUUGUAAUGUUAGAUUUCUAACUUUGAAUCAUUAUCUGGUCAAAGGACAGUUUCAGGCGGGCAGUCUGACUGGGGCGGUCGCCUCCUAAACGGUAACGGAGGCGUACAAAGGUUUCCUCUGAACGGUUAGAAAUCGUAUCUAGAGUGUAAAGGCAUAAGGAAGCUUGACUGUGAGACCUACAAGUCGAGCAGGGACGAAAGUCGGUCUUAGUGAUCUGACGGUACUGAGUGGAAAGGCCGUCACUCAACGGAUAAAAGUUACUCUAGGAUAACAGGCUGAUCUCCCCCAAGAGUUCACAUCGACGCGGAGGUUUGGCACCUCGAUGUCGGCUCAUCGCAUCCUGGGGCGGUAGUACGUCCCAAGGGUUGGGCUGUUCGCCCAUGAAAGCGGUACGCGAGCUGGGUUCAGAACGUCGUGAGACAGUUCGGUCCAUAUCCGGUGUAGGCGCUAGAAUAUUGAGAGGAGCCUUCCUUAGUACGAGAGGACCGAGAAGGACAUACCUCUGGUGUACCAGUUAUCGUGCCAACGGUAAACGCUGGGUAGCUAUGUAUGGAGUGGAUAACCGCUGAAAGCAUCUAAGUGGGAAGCCCACCUCAAGAUAAGUAUUCUCAUCACGUAAGUGAGUAAGGUCACGGUAAGACUAACCGUUUGAUAGGCAUUAAGUGUAAGUACAGUAAUGUAUGUGCUGAGAUGUCCUAAUAGACCGAGGACUC